UCUAAUUGCGUGCGCGUAUGGAUGCUCCUUUCGCCGGCUUUCCAGCAACUAGUUGAUGUUAUGAUGCAUCGUUGGUCCGGCGUACGAUGGCGCCUGGUGCGAUGUAUGCGUCCGGAAGCCCUUUCAGCCUCCAGGCAUGUCCCCACCUGCCUCACAGCCACCGACGCAUCUCACGGCGGGGUUCCAAUUGCGUGCGCGUAUGGAUGCUCCUUUCCCCGCCGCCUUUCUAGCAACUAGUUGAUGUUAUGAUGCAUCGUUCUUCCGGUGUACGACGGCGCCUGAUGCGAUUUAUGCGUCCGGAAGCCCUUUCAGCCUCCAGGCAUGUCCCCACCUGCCUCACAGCCACCGACGCAUCUCACGGCGGGGGUCUAAUUGCGUGCGCGUAUGGAUGCUCCUUUCCCCGCUGCCUUUCCAGCAACUAGUUGAUGUUAUGAUGCAUCGUUGGUCCGGCGUACGAUGGCGUCUGAUGCGAUUUAUGCGUCCGGAAGCCCUUUCAGCCUCCAGGCAUGUCCCCACCUGCCUCACAGCCACCGACGCAUCUCACGGCGGGGUUCCAAUUGCGUGCGCGUAUGGAUGCUCCUUUCGCCGCCGCCUUUCUAGCAACUAGUUGAUGUUAUGAUGCAUCGUUGGUCCGGCGUACGAUGGCGUCUGAUGCGAUGUAUGCGUCCGGAAGCCCUUUCAGCCUCCAGGCAUGUCCCCACCUGCCUCACAGCCACCGACGCAUCUCACGGCGGGGUUCCAAUUGCGUGCGCGUAUGGAUGAUCCUUUCCUGCCGCCUUUCUAGCAACUAGUUGAUGUUAUGAUGCAUCGUUGGUCCGGCGUACGAUGGCGCCUGAUGCGAUUUAUGCGUCCGGAAGCCCUUUCAGCCUCCAGGCAUGUCCCCACCUGCCUCACAGCCACCGACGCAUCUCACGGCGGGGUUCCAAUUGUGUGCGCGUAUGGAUGCUCCUUUCCCCGCCGCCUUUCCAGCAACUAGUUGAUGUUAUGAUGCAUCGUUGGUCCGGCGUACGAUGGCGCCUGGUGCGAUGUAUGCGUCCGGAAGCCCUUUCAGCCUCCAGGCAUGUCCCCACCUGCCUCACAGCCACCGACGCAUCUCACGGCGGGGUUCCAAUUGCGUGCGCGUAUGGAUGCUCCUUUCCCCGCCGCCUUUCUAGCAACUAGUUGAUGUUAUGAUGCAUCGUUCUUCCGGUGUACGACGGCGCCUGAUGCGAUUUAUGCGUCCGGAAGCCCUUUCAGCCUCCAGGCAUGUCCCCACCUGCCUCACAGCCACCGACGCAUCUCACGGCGGGGGUCUAAUUGCGUGCGCGUAUGGAUGCUCCUUUCCCCGCUGCCUUUCCAGCAACUAGUUGAUGUUAUGAUGCAUCGUUGGUCCGGCGUACGACGGCGCCUGAUGCGAUUUAUGCGUCCGGAAGCCCUUUCAGCCUCCAGGCAUGUCCCCACCUGCCUCACAGCCACCGACGCAUCUCACGGCGGGGGUCUAAUUGCGUGCGCGUAUGGAUGCUCCUUUCCCCGCCGCCUUUCUAGCAACUAGUUGAUGUUAUGAUGCAUCGUUGGUCCGGCGUACGACGGCGCCUGAUGCGAUUUAUGCGUCCGGAAGCCCUUUCAGCCUCCAGGCAUGUCCCCACCUGCCUCACAGCGACCGACGCAUCUCACGGCGGGGGUCUAAUUGCGUGCGCGUAUGGAUGCUCCUUUCGCCGCCGCCUUUCUAGCAACUAGUUGAUGUUAUGAUGCAUCGUUGGUCCGGCGUACGACGGCGCCUGAUGCGAUUUAUGCGUCCGGAAGCCCUUUCAGCCUCCAGGCAUGUCCCCACCUGCCUCACAGCCACCGACGCAUCUCACGGCGGGGGUCUAAUUGCGUGCGCGUAUGGAUGCUCCUUUCGCCGCCUUUCUAGCAACUAGUUGAUGUUAUGAUGCAUCGUUGGUCCGGCGUACGACGGCGCCUGAUGCGAUUUAUGCGUCCGGAAGCCCUUUCAGCCUCCAGGCAUGUCCCCACCUGCCUCACAGCCACCGACGCAUCUCACGGCGGGGGUCUAAUUGCGUGCACGUAUGGAUGCUCCUUUCGCCGCCGCCUUUCUAGCAACUAGUUGAUGUUAUGAUGCAUCGUUGGUCCGGCGUACGACGGCGCCUGAUGCGAUUUAUGCGUCCGGAAGCCCUUUCAGCCUCCAGGCAUGUCCCCACCUGCCUCACAGCGACCGACGAAUCUCACGGCGGGGGUCUAAUUGCGUGCGCGUAUGGAUGCUCCUUUCGCCGCCUUUCCAGCAACUAGUUGAUGUUAUGAUGCAUCGUUGGUCCGGCGUACGAUGGCGCCUGAUGCGAUUUAUGCGUCCGGAAGCCCUUUCAGCCUCCAGGCAUGUCCCCACCUGCCUCACAGCCACCGACGCAUCUCACGGCGGGGUUCCAAUUGCGUGCGCGUAUGGAUGCUCCUUUCGCCGCCGCCUUUCUAGCAACUAGUUGAUGUUAUGAUGCAUCGUUGGUCCGGCGUACGAUGGCGCCUGAUGCGAUGUAUGCGUCCGGAAGCCCUUUCAGCCUCCAGGCAUGUCCCCACCUGCCUCACAGCCACCGACGCAUCUCACGGCGGGGGUCUAAUUGCGUGCGCGUAUGGAUGCUCCUUUCGCCGCCUUUCCAGCAACUAG
rnacentral:lncRNA from 1 species